AUUGCAUCUAUUAUGAACAGAAACCAAACAUGCUUGAAGAUGUAGGAGAUCCUCGCUAUCCAUCCACCUUCGCAGCUUCUUUUGCCUCACAAUUACCUCUGUCACAAGUCCUAUCAAACACCGUGCCCGAUUCUGGUGCAGAUGACAGCACUGGGGACACUUCGCCUCAAUUGAAGCUGUUAUACAACCCUUAGACACAACCACUUGCCUGCUAAUUACCUGCUAUGAAAGAAAUUACAUAUUGUGAGCUACUAGCAAAGGAACAACUUCAACACUGCAUCAAAUGGCUCGACCAAAGUUAUCAGUGGAGCAAUAUUCACCUGGUUUCCCCAAAACAAAACAGCACAUCCCAAAGAAUGGUGAACUCCAGUUGAAAAGACAUGCGAUUCUGAAAUAACCAUGGUCAUUUCAGACAUCUUGCGGGAGAAUUAAAAGGGGCAAGAACAUUCAGUGAUUUAGAUACAUUUUACCAUCAGGAGCAUUCACUGCAUUGCACAGUAUGUAACUGAAUAGUUGGAGAGAAACUGGACUCUGUGUAACUAUACUAGACAUGACAAGUACAGAAGUACUAGCUAGUAAUGGACAAGGAAUUUUACUCAUGUGAGCAGUUCAAAACCGAAUCCAAGUAAGUUUUCCUCAAGUGUAUCCAACCAGCCCUUUAACUGCUGCACCUAGACCACAAGGCCGUCCAAAACUGCACCACUCCGACAAUUCUGGGAGUUAUAUUACAGUCAGAUCUCCAAUGGAAUUUCCAAGUGUUUGAUAUGAUAUCAAGUGCCGGCAAGCGACUAUACAUUUACGACAUCUCAGAGUAUCGUGUGAAGAUCUAGCAGACAUCUUCUCGACAUAUAUCCGAUCUUCGCUAGAAUACGCUUCUCCAGUUUGGUCCACAUCAAUUUCCCGAACAGUUAUCUUGCAGUCUGAAGAAAGUGCAGAAACGUGUCUGCUGUAUUAUCCUUGGAUAAGAACAGUUGUAUGAAACCACUCGUUUCUCUCCAGAGUCUAACUUCUUGCCGUCUUGCCCUUCUUGAAUCCUUUUCUCUCAAACUGUUUAAGUCAUCACGAGAUCGAAUUAUGUUCUACCGCCAACUCGUCGCCAAACCUCUUGCCAUGAACUCUGAAACUCUCUACACAUAACUAUACCCUAUUGUAGAACUGAGAGACACCGCACUUCAAUUAUUCCCUUUAUCGUACGACUCCUUAACAACUAACUGUGAUUUUAAUUAUCUUUGUCAUGUUUGUAUUUAUUUAUUUUUGCUUACCAUAUUAUUGUUUUUCAUUCUUCUCUUUUCCAUUCUUCAUUCUUUUAUCCUCCCCUCUCAUGUACUUUUUCUCCUUCUCUCUAAAUCAGGAAUUAAAGUACUCACAUGCAUUAUGA